GGCGAACGGGUGAGUAAUAUAUCGGAACGUACCCAGAAGUGGGGGAUAACGUAGCGAAAGUUACGCUAAUACCGCAUACGAUCUAUGGAUGAAAGUGGGGGACCUUCGGGCCUCAUGCUUUUGGAGCGGCCGAUAUCUGAUUAGCUAGUUGGUGAGGUAAAGGCUCACCAAGGCGACGAUCAGUAGCUGGUCUGAGAGGACGACCAGCCACACUGGGACUGAGACACGGCCCAGACUCCUACGGGAGGCAGCAGUGGGGAAUUUUGGACAAUGGGCGCAAGCCUGAUCCAGCAAUGCCGCGUGAGUGAAGAAGGCCUUCGNGGUUGUAAAGCUCCUUUUGUCAGGGAAGAAAACGGCUCGGGAUAAUACCUUGGGCUAAUGACGGUACCUGAAGAAUAAGCACCGGCUAACUACGUGCCAGCCGCCGCGG
rnacentral:rRNA from 1 species